rnacentral:tRNA from 1 species
UGCCGAGUGGACGAAUCGGUAAAGUCGCCUGACUCUGAAUCAGGAGGUUGCAGGUUCGAGACCUGCCUCGGCAU